AGGCGGCGAAACCCACGGUGACACGGACACGGGCGGCAAGAGGAGACACGGAGCCUCCGCGCUGGCGAGAGCGUCUGCGCGGGCAGUGGCUCUGGAGACUUUUACUAAGAUGGAUGGAGGAUCAGGCUGUACUGGACUCCCAUUCUGAAGUGCCCCUCAAACCCUACAGACAGUGCUUUCAUGGCCUUUGCUCUGGAAAAGCCUCUUGCGGUUACCCCAGGCAUGAGUGUUUUCAGGCUUCAGGCAAGCCAACGUGAGAAACAGCUCUUCGAACCCAUGAGAUGAGAAACUGCAACUUGCAACUCACCUCUACUCCUUCCAGACCAGUAAGGUUUGCUGGUGGUACUGCAAAUAGCAAAGGGCUGAGGAAGGCUGGAAGAAAAGCUGUUUUCGACCACCCCAUGAAAGGAAUCUGUUGUGGGUCUGCCAGAAGUAUCUGACUUUUUAAGGUGCCACUUCUAAAGUCAACAUGAAAUCAUGGGAGCCAGUUCAUGUAUCAAUACCAUGUCUUGGAAUUUUGUCAUUUCAGGAGGACCUCACUCUCUUCAAAAAGUAGUUUUCUGUGGCAAAGGCUUGAAAAUGUGAAUGUUGGGGAUAUUCUGGUACAAGCAGGAGACAAUUUUUUUUUCUUACAGUCCUGUACCAAAUCCUGUGUCUCUCCUUUGAGAGCCUUUGCUGGAAUGGGCACAGAAGCAUGGUUCCUACCCCUCUGAUAGUACCUCUCUUCUUUUUAGGGCUACCCCCUUUGCAUCUGCUGCUGCUUGAAUCGACUAUGAAGGAAAGUUUUUUAGGAUGUUAACACUAUUACUCUUUUUUCUGCUUAAACUUUUAGCACAAUGGAUGCAGACGUAGGGCUCUCAUUUCCUCCCUACAGAGAGCCUUUCUGCAUCACCAUUCACUAACCACAAAACAAAAGCAUUAUGUGACUCCAGGACAUACACAAGGCACACUGUAACUUAGCUCUCAUCUUGCACCUAAGCAUAACUUGGGUCUGUCUUAACUGUCGUUGUAUUUCCGCCUUCCAGACUUCCCCUCUUGCAAUGUGUUUCUGUUUAAGCCUCCACACCCAUGCUCUUCCCUUGCAUUCUCGCUACCCAGUGAUUUUGUACAUCCUAAUUGCUCUCCCUGUGCUUGGGACACAGCUGCUGCCCAAUGGCAAUCCUGCACUUUGCAGGCAUGAUGAAGGAAGCACAUAGAGCAGAGACAUUUGGGGUAACAGGAUGGGUCUUAUCUAGGUUAAUCUCUCAGUCUCCCUUUGGGGCAAAAUAACCCUUUAAGCAUUGGUUUCUCCUCUGCUGUUUAUCCCCUUUCAUUCUUAUUUCUACCCUAUGAAUUGAGUGAUCUAGAGUCUCUUCUGCUUCUUAGUCACCAUACACAUCAGCCAGCAACUGGAUUCCAUUAAUCCUGGCAGGGAGCAUGUGAGUUUCCAGUUCUUGCACUCCUGGGAUCUGGAUGGAAAUUGUUUCAGCUGGACCUACACACAUCUAUACGCACAUAAAUAUCCACCAAGGAUCUGUCAUGUUCUCAUGUAUUUGGGCCCUUAGGGAAUUUCCAAAAGAUGCUUCCAGCCUCUCUUCAAGUAAACAGUCCCAGGUGAAUGGGAAAUAAGGGCUGGCUUCUCACCUAGAUUUUCCAGUGCCUGAUAAAGUACAGAGUUCCAGCAAGAAGUGUCAACUGCAGCAUUCACGCGCUUCUCUCCACUAGAAUUCCCUCAGUGCUUAAGAGCUGAGCCACCUUCACUGACUUCCUACACUGCUAGGUUCUCUCCUCUGUCUAGUAACAGACUUUUGUUAUAGCAAGCACAUCAGCUCCAAGUUCAUUACCUAUCAGAUUUGAUCAGAGUUCAAAAGCAACUUGAGAUGAGCACAUCCACAUUGGCUUUGUUUCUUCUAGAAGCCAGACUCAAUAAAGAGAAGAGUCAGGACUUUAAUCUAAAAGGCUGGCCUCCUGCAAGUGGGGUUAUGAUGAAUAGAGUGAAACAGAAGGCCAGAGAGCAUGGAAUGCUGGAAGGAAAUCACCCUCUGCUCACAGAAAAUGUUACUUGGUCCCCCAGCAGUUCUCUCCACUGUAUUGCUUCAGGGAGUUUCUAACUAGUUUUUGCAGCUGUCAGCCCUUCAUUUUACUUUAACUGAGUUCUAAUUCGUAAGACAUAGGAUUGACAAUGGCUUUGGUAUUAGUUUCACACAUCAAUUCUAGGAGAGCAUCUUUAUAAUUUAAAAUGGAGGCUCCAUUCUAAUCCUGUUUAGUCUAUCUUGAUUUGAGAUGACAGUCUUAUUACGCGCCCCAUACAUUAUGGUAGGGUGGGUUGGGGCUUUUUGGCAGGGUUGGGUUUUUUGGGAGUAGUCACACUUUUUCCCAUAAUUUCUUUUUAUGAGGUUAUGGCUGCUAAAGUCUGUCCCUCUGCCAAGGUCCAUUCAAGAAAUGUUCACUUCUGGUGCCUGCAUUCUGGCUGAGUCACAGCUAAAGGACUAAAGCUCAUCAAACGCCAGAUGUGUGUCAGUGCCCCUACAUGAAAAGGGCUCUGCUGAGCUCUGACUCUCUACAGAGACAUGCUGCUGCUGGAAAGGCAGCAAGAAAAUGCUCAGAGAGCUGUUGGCUUCCAGUUCUUCUCCAGUACUCCACCUGGGCAGGGCAGGGCUCUUUCCUGAGCUGUGAAAUGCUCACAAAGUCCUGCUGGUUUCCUUGGGAGGCCUGGCAGUUAUGCCAGGAGGAAAGAAAAGGCUUCUCUUUGCUGCUCCCUUUUUGCUUCAGGCUAUUCAGCAGUAAGAAAGUGGUUUUGGGUCUUCCUCUUGUGAGCUGUCAGCAGAGUCAAAGCACAAUGGAAAUUGCCUCCCAGCCUGGAGAUAAAGAGGGAAGCAGAGCUAAACCUGGCAGAGUGACACAUUAACACAUUAAGUGAUCUUCCCCUCAGUCUGUGGCAGCCCUCAGCUUGCUUGCAAGUGUUCACAUGAGCUACCCUGAUCCAGUGUCAACAUUGGGAACAUGUUAUCAUGCAAUAAAUCUACACGACCCCCUCAGAAGGAACACUAAGCUAUCACACUCACCUGCAGCUUCAAUCCUCACAGCUCCAGAAACCCCCACUACUACUGAAAGAUUUAAACCAACAGUGUGUUUUUUGUUUUAAAGAGAUUGGAGCCUUGUUGCUGGCUUUAGGCUAGAAUUUCUGGUGUCUUUCUAGUUGCAUUAUUCAUGGCUUCCAGUUAGCAUAGGGAGCCUAUCCUGUAAUAUCUUUUGGAGCAGGAAGAGCUGUGCUGCUUCCAGGGCUGGCACAUACUCACUGCUUCUCAGCCUGCUUUUCCACUCCCAGUGCUGACACAGCCUGGGAGAAGGAAGACAAAAACUUUGGACUUGGGCUGAGGCAGGAGAACCCCACAAGACCUUUGCCCUGCUGGAGCACAAUUUCAUACACCGUGUUCCUGAGUGAGCUGGACUUGAAUUCCUUGGGUGAAAGCACAGGACUAAGACUAACUCUGCAUGUGAAGAGACACAGAAGAGGCCCUGCCCUCUGUCCUAAGGCUUAUUUAUUGCCUAAAAGCAAAAAUAUAUUGCAGACAGAGCGCUGUUCUUUGUCCUUUGUCUCCAGACAUAAGCUCCU